rnacentral:rRNA from 1 species
AUGCUAUCAGUUCCUAGAAGAAAGUGGUGGUCGAGUAGGAAGAGGGAGGAGAUGCAAACAUCACUGCUAAUCCGACCAGUUCAGGAAACACAUAAAGAUAAUAUGUAUCCUUUGAGCAAUAGGAUCAGCUUCAUGUCCAUAUGGUCACUACACAUGCCAUGCAGGCGGCAAGAUAUGGGCAUGUCCAUCUCAAUGACGGCGAGAUCAACGUGGUGCAGCACAACUCUGUCUGAGUCAGCAGCAGCGAAUUGUUUCUACGGAGGUCUAAUCCUUUUCGGUCAUCUUGUGGUAUGUGGAUGGUAUAUUUUAUGA